rnacentral:sRNA from 1 species
UUCUGGAAGAAGAAGAAGAGCAUGAUUGGCAUGUCCACCAAGGCAGGUAGGUGCCCCGAGCGUGGCCCUGCUUAGAUGCUCUGCCCAGGGGGCGCUCACUGGAGCGUGCGGUAGAGGGCUGCUUGCCUCACUGCUGGCUGCAGACACAGCCCCGGGUGUGUGCUUGGCUCUUGAGAAGCCUUUGAGACCAGGCACCGUAAAGCCCAGGGAGCCGUUGCGGCAAUUGUGGUGGGACCGUCGGAGGCUGCGCGGCUCAGGGCCUCCAGAGGCUGUGCGGCUUCGGGCCUGGCUGCGGACUCUGGCGUGCAGGGGGUCUGGGCCUGGGCUGUGGAGAGUGAGAUGCAUGGACCUCUCGAGCCUUCCCGGCUGCUCAUGGGCGCUGAGCAGGGCUGGGGCCUCACAUCCCCUGUCUUGGUUCCCUCGCCCCGUCCUCCCACCGGUGUUCCUUCCCCGACCAGCGCAGGCCUGCGCGUGUGGGGCCUGCCAGGUGAUGGCAGUUGAUAGGCCCGUGGUGCUGUGCCUGGCAGUGGCAGGCAGUGUGCAGCUGUUAGGGAGGGCAGUCAGGGACCCCUGAGGCCAGGCAGCCCAGGCAGGAGGCCUGCCAAGAUCUGGGACCGGUGUUCCUGGCCAAGGGUGCCUGCCGUGGUUAAGGGGCCCAAGUGAGUGAGGGGUCCUCCUGACCUUGCAGGGGUGGAGGUUGUCACAGUGGGAUGGGGAGCUGCAGUCUGGACAGGGGCAAGGGGUUGACGGGUGUGAGGAGGAGGAGUGGGGGGUCCUGUUGGUUAGGAGUGAGGAGCAUUGGGCUUCAGUAUCAGACCCAAACAAGUUGUUUUUCUCACAUGGAAAAGACAGCCAAGCAGGUGGCCCUGGAAGCCUGGGGGCCCUGCCAUGUUCUGUGUUGUUGUCUCCGAACCCUAAUGCCUUUCCCAGCGUCCCGGGUUGGGGUGCCCAUGGCCACUCUUUGUCCUGUGGCUCCGUGGAUCUGGCUCCCCUGCCUGCCCUGGGGGCUUGUGGGAGGAGGAAGAUGUGUUGGAUAAGCCAGAGUGGUUCUUAAGGUACAGCUGGGGAGGAAACAAAUCCAGACUUGAAAAGCCACGCGCUUAUCACAGAACUGGCAUAAGACCCGCCCGGAAGCAAAGCUGUGCUGGCCCCGUCAUCCGACCUCUGCCCACGUUCCAUGCUCAUUUGCAAGUGUGGCUCAGACAUGUAUUUGUGGAGCUGGUGUGGGGCCAACUGUUCAGUUCAGGAGCCUUCAAAACACUUUCCUAGCUGCUAGAUGCUUCAUUGUUCUUUUUAAACGGGGUGACGUGGACUGGGGAGUAUCUGGAGCUUCUUGGGCGUGGUGGGUUGGGAUGGGGGACUGGGGGUAUGUGUGUGACUUGGGGGGCACAGGUGGGGUCUGCCCUGCACCCCCUCCCAGCCCGACCAUCCUAUCCCCAGUGCUCUGGCGCUGCUUCAGCACCGUGGUCAUCUUCCUGUUCCUGCUGGAUGAGCAGACGAGCCUGCUGGUGCUGGUCCCGGCGGGCGUUGGAGCUGCCAUUGAGCUGUGGAAAGUUAAGAAGGCAUUGAAGAUGACUAUUCUUUGGAGAGGCCUGAUGCCCGAAUUUGAGGUAGGAUUUAGUUGUAGUGGCUGAACCCCAAGCCUCUCUGAAGAGUGUGGUUUUGCCCCCUGCGCAUGGAGUAAGGUGGCUAUCUGCAGAUGAGUCACUGCAGGCUUCUGUCAGGGGAGCCUCCGUGGUGGAGGCAGCGCUGGUUUCUGAUCGCAGCCACUCUCUUUGCCUGAGGAUUCCCCAGUCAUAUACCUAGUUCUGACCCUCUUCAGUGCAGAUGGCAGCACUUCUGGGCCUGAGCCGGCCUCUGGGAGAAAGGAUGCUGGCUGGCCAGCACGGGUGCUUCGUUUUGGCACCUUGCCCAGAGGCGCUCCCAAGGCUGGUGCUGACUGGGGUCCGUACAGUCCUGGCAAUCCUCAAGUGAGUGAGCCCCUGCUCUGAGCUGGUGGCUGCCCCAGUGCCUGGAUGCUCAUAAGGCCCCUAGGUAGAUGAGGGCUGGGGCAGAGCUGGAGUUGAAUCUCAGUGCCCACGGACGGACCUUGUUUGAGGCGGGGCCCUCAGCAGUCACAGGCUGAGAUUUUCCAUGCUGUGGGCAGGGGGUGGCAGAAAGCCCAGCAGAUGCAGCGCACCCACUGUGUUCCACCUUGCCCCGUGGCUCCUGGCCGGCUGCUUCGGAGCAGUGUUGGCUGUGCCUGUGCACUCUGCAGUGUUCUCACUGAAGGAGUGGCACUGAAAACUGAGCCGCCUGAGCGAGGAACAGCAGUGAGGCUGCGUUGUCCCCGUCAGGCUUGCGGGACCCAGGGCCAGGGUGAGGCGGGAAGGAUCCAUGCAGAUCCCUGUCCUCUGGGUCCUCUCCUCGCCCGGUAGGGACCUGAGCGCCCUCUGUAGCGAGGCCUGGGUCAGCUCUGCAGCCAUGUGUGACGCCCCUUAGUCACAGCUCAGCUGUGCCCAGAUCCUCCCUGAGUGUAUUAAUAUGACUGUGUUGAAUUUCACAACAGUUUGGCACUUACAGCGAAUCUGAGAGGAAAACCGAGGAGUACGAUACUCAGGCCAUGAAGUACUUGUCGUACCUGCUGUACCCGCUCUGUGUCGGGGGCGCUGUCUAUUCACUCCUGAACAUCAAAUACAAGAGCUGGUACUCCUGGUUAAUCAACAGCUUCGUCAACGGGGUCUAUGCCUUCGGUUUCCUCUUCAUGUUGCCCCAGCUCUUUGUGAACUACAAGUUGAAGUCAGUGGCACAUUUGCCCUGGAAGGCUUUCACCUACAAGGCUUUCAACACCUUCAUUGAUGACGUUUUUGCCUUCAUCAUCACCAUGCCCACGUCUCACCGGCUGGCCUGCUUCCGGGACGACGUGGUGUUUCUGGUCUACCUGUACCAGCGGUGGCUUUAUCCUGUGGAUAAACGCAGAGUGAACGAGUUCGGGGAGUCCUACGAGGAGAAGGCCACGCGGGCGCCCCACACGGACUGAAGGCCGCCCAGGCUGCCGCCGGCCAAGUGCAACUUGAAUUGUCAAUGAGUAUUUUUGGAAGCAUUUGGUGGAAUUCCUAGACAUUGCAUUUUCUGUGUUGCCAAAAUCCCUUCGGACAUUUCUCAGACAUCUCCCAAGUUCCUGUCACAUCAGAUUUGGAGCUGGUAGCGCUUACGAUGCCCCCACGUGUGAACAUCUGUCUUGGUCACAGAGCUGGGUGCUGCCGGUCACCUUGAGCUGUGGUGGCUCCCGGCACACGAGUGUCCGGGGUUCGGCCAUGUCCUCACGCUGGCAGGGGCGGGAGCCCUCGUGCUGGCAGGGGGGCUGUCGGAUUUCCAUUUCAGGUGGUUUUCUAAGUGCUCCUUAUGUGAAUUUCAAACACAUAUGGAAUUCAUUCCGCAUGGACUCUGGGAUCAAAGCCUCUUUCCUCUUUUGUUUGAGAGUUGGUUGUUUUAAAGCUUAAUGUAUGUUUCUAUUUUAAAAUAAAUUUUUCUGGUUGUGGC